AGAGCCAGGAAUUUUCUGCAACUGAGCAGGGGGAGGAGUUGUGGCUGUUUCCCUCUAUUGAGAGGGAACAGGGCGGAUACCUGACCAACUCGUGAUCCUAGACAUGAAGCAUGGAGUGGAGGCGAAAAAUUACGAAGAGAUUGCAAAAGUUGAGAAGCUCAAACCAUUAGAGGUAGAGCUGCGACGCCUAGAAGACCUUUCAGAAUCUAUUGUUAAUGAUUUUGCCUACAUGAAGAAGAGAGAAGAGGAGAUGCGUGAUACCAACGAGUCAACAAACACUCGGGUCCUAUACUUCAGCAUCUUUUCAAUGUUCUGUCUCAUUGGACUAGCUACCUGGCAGGUCUUCUACCUGCGACGCUUCUUCAAGGCCAAGAAAUUGAUUGAGUAAUGAAUGAGGCAUAUUCUCCUCCCACCUUGUACCUCAGCCAGCAGAACAUCGCUGGGACGUGCCUGGCCUAAGGCAUCCUACCAACAGCACCAUCAAGGCACGUUGGAGCUUUCUUGCCAGAACUGAUCUCUUUUGGUGUGGGAGGACAUGGGGUACCACCUACACCCAACAAGUCAAUGAGGGACUUCUUUUUAAUUUGGUAGGAUUUUGACUGGUUUUGCAACAAUAGGUCUAUUAUUAGAGUCACCUAUGACAAAAAAUAGGGGUUACCUAGAUAAUGCCAAAGUCAGCAUUUGUCCUGGGUUCCCUUGUGUGAUCUGUUUGGACUAUGUUUUCUUUUCUUCUCCCACUUGCUCAGCAGCUUGGGCUUCCAUUCUAGUUCUUUUACCAAGAUUUUUGUGUGACCAUGUUGACUUCAUUUGGAUUGCCCUCUUUCAAUUUCCUUGUGAAAACACCCUUAACUUUCUCUUUACCCUUAGCUGAAAUGUUUACGUAGCUUCUGGUGAUAUCUUUUCAUGAUUUUAUGUCU
rnacentral:sRNA from 1 species